rnacentral:tRNA from 1 species
GACGAUGUAGUUCAAUGGUAGAACGCGAGAAUCAUAAUCUUGAAGCUAUAGGUUCAAAUCCUUUCAUCGUUA